rnacentral:lncRNA from 1 species
UUCGUCUGAGUCUUUCCGAUCCAGCGAAUAAGGGGUUUCCUUGAACCCGCUGGGUACGAGGGUGAGGAAACACUAGUCCACCCCAAAACAUGCCUAGCAUUGGCGGGUUUCGCACUUGCUGUCGGCAUAUCACACACUCGACACAAUUAUCCCUAGGAAAGACCUAAGGGACAAGAAUCCAACCCAAACUAAACAAUAUAUAGGAGUCUACGACAAUAUCAACCAAUACUCGUAGUCCAGCCUAUAUGGCAUAGGACCCGUAGUAUCAACAUCACAACCAGGAGGUCGCCCUAUAUGGCCAAAGAUCCCCUAGACGACAACAUUACCACAAU